GCAAUUGAAAAGAAUGGAACAUCACACUAAAUCUCCUCAUCCAGGAUCUUGGCCAAUAAAGAAUUUACUAUUAUACUUUUAUUCAUGUAUACCUUUUAUCAAAAAAGGAACCAUUUUUGAGAAGAGUGGCAAAAAGUGAGAGCUUAAGUCAUUCUUGGAAAAGCAACAAUCCUGUCUACUCUCUCCAUCACAGCGCUGCUCCUGACUCCUUUGAAUGCUUGGGUAGGACAGUGGUGCUGGUGCUGAGGUCAAAUGAGCAUUGACUUAUCCAUAGGUCAUGCCAAAUCCGUAAUUUUUAAUUGAAAUCUUUCCCUCAUCUUAUACAUGAGGUUGAUUUAUAAGUGAGUUCAAAUAGACUAUUAAGUAGACUAUUGAAUGCACCAGGCGCAGGCAAGAGAGCAAGCCAGCUGCAAUUAACUGCAAUGAAUCACUCUGACCAGGAGGUCAUGAGUUCGAGCCCCACUCAGAGCCUAUGUUUGUUUGUCUUUGUUCUAUGUUAAAAGGCAUUGAAUGUUUGCCUAUAUGUGUAAUGUGAUCCGCCCUGAGUCCCCUUCGGGGUGAGAAGGGCGGAAUAUAAGUGCUGUAAAUAAAUAAAUAAUAAACAAACAUUAUGCAAUAUAUAUUGACAACUAUAUCAAGUGACCGAUUUUGUUAUUUUGUUCUAUUACAUUUCUUUUGUCAAGAGUUGGCAGAAUGAAAAAGCUCCUGUUCCUUUAAUGGGUUUGUCUAAGUGUCGCUUGUUACCUGGUUGCAUGGCAAACAUAAUCUGGUGAAAUUCACUCUUCUACACAGAGAAAUAUACAGGAGGCCCCUAUAGUUUUUAAUCUAGCAACCCUACUUUGUGUCUCAGUAGUUUGCAAUGUAAGACGGAUGGAAGAUGCUUUCUAAUUAUUGAUUUUCAUAGGCCACACCAAGAGCUUCCAUUGGUAUAAGGAUAAAAUUCUUAUAAACAAAAAACAGACUUAUUCUUAUAAAUAAAUGUAUAAUAAAUAAUAUUGUUUUCUAUAACUGCCUUUUGCAGACUGGAACCAGAUUCUUCCCUAGAAAGGACAUAGGAUAUAUUUUUAUAACAGGAACAUGAAUUGAUAAUAAUAUAUAAUUCAGAAUCUAAUAUUCUUAUUUUAGAGCUUUUAUUGCACCAGCUAUAAGAGCACCUGUUGGUUC
rnacentral:lncRNA from 1 species